UGACCCUGACCCUGACCCUGACCCUAAACCUGACCCUAAAUCUGACCCUGACUCCUGACCCCUGACCCCUGACCCCUGACCCCCAACCCCAACCCCAACCCCUAACCCUAAGCCCCAGACCUCUGGAUGUGACCUUGUUUGGAAAUGGGGUCCUUGCAGAUGCAGUGAGCUCAGGUGAGAUCAUCCUGGAGCAGGGUGAGCUUGGUCCAGUGUGACUUGGGUGAGGUUAUCUUGGAAUAGGCUGAGUCCUGGUCCAGUGUGACUCCAGUGAGGUCAUCCUAGAGCAGGCUGAGCCUUGGUCCACUGUGACUCUGGUGAGCUCAUCCUAGAAUAGGCUGAGCCCUGGUCCAGUGUGACUCGGGUGAGCUCAUCCUGGAAUAGGCUGAGCCCUGGCCCAGUGUGACUCGGAUGAGCUCAUCCCAGAGUAGGCUGAUCUCUGGCCCAGUGUCUCGGGUGAGCUCACCUUAGAGCAGGCUGAGCCCUGGUCCAGUGUGACUUAGGUGAGGUAUUCUAGAGCAGG
rnacentral:lncRNA from 1 species